GUCCACGCCCUAAACGAUGCAUACUUGGUGUGAGCCAUUCAGUUGGUUCGUGCCGGAGCUAACGCGUUAAGUAUGCCGCCUGGGGAGUACGGUCGCAAAGGCUGAAACUCAAAAGGAAUUGACGGGGCCCGCACAAGCGGUGGAGCAUGUGGUUCAAUUCGACGCAACGCGAAAGAACCUUACCUGGGCUCGAAACGGCUUUUUCAAACGUUUGUGGAAAACACAGAUAAUCCCCGCAAGGGAGUAGAGUCGAGGUGCUGCAUGGCUGUCGU
rnacentral:rRNA from 1 species